rnacentral:lncRNA from 1 species
CAUCAUUAAAGGUCCACGUGAAUAUUAAAAAAAAUUAAAAACUAAAAAAUUAAAAAACUUAAGAAAAUAAAAAAAAAUUGAGCGAUGAUGCAGCCUGCUGCUAUCCUUCUUUCUCUUCUCUCCCUCAAAUCUCAUAUCCCCAGCAACCCUUGCCCUCGCGACCUCGUAACCGUCGCCCUUCAUCUCGCUGCCACUAGCAAUGGGUGGGCGGAGAUCGAUUCGGCCACCAACGGAGGAAUUGAAAGGGAAAAUAAAGCGUGCCCGAUGAUAAGCCUAUCGAUCCGAUUUGCUCCGAAGAAUUAGAAUUCUUUGUCCAUGGAGUUUGCCCAUUUUAUUUUUUCCAAAUCCAAUUUCCAUCGUGCGUUUUCCUUUGCCCUUAAAAAAAAAUGCAGAAAUUUGGGAACGAAGGUGAAGGCAGAGAAAUCCCGCUCAUCUCUUCACUCCAAGGCCAAAUCCCACUCAUUGGAUUUUCAUCUCUUCUACCUUAAUCCAAGCCGCGGUGGAGCUGGGCAAAGCCGAAGGCAUGCCAGACUCACCAGUCCAGAUCCCAACCAUUUCUUUUCUGCCUGAACCACCCAGCCAACCCCGAACCACCAGGACCCGCACUCGACCCGUCGCAAGCUCGCGCCUGCCUGACCACCCGCUGCAACCCGCCAGAACCACAAAAUUGCAUCCCCGUCGCACCCAGAUCGGCAGAAGAACUAAUUGCAGAAGAGUGAAAAAGGGACGGGGGAGAGGAAGCAACUAUCCCCACCUUUUUCUAUUUUUUUUUAUUUUUUUAAUGUUUCUUAAAUUUAUUAAUUUUUUAAGUUUUUUAAAUUUUAGUUUUUUUUUGUAAUUUUCACGUGGAUCUUUAAUGAUGCGUGUGACGUUCAAUCAUUAUUCACAUGAACAUAAUGUUACCAGUUAACAGAUGACAUAACAGACAACUUAACGAAUAUAUAAGACUAUCUGAAAAUUAAGACUUGAUGUAUGACUUUGAAAUAAAAAAAAUAUUUAUGUACCAAAUAUUGAAAAUUACGAAAUUUUAAGUUAAUAAACUGAGAUUAAUCUUUAUAUAAAAUAUGCAAAUAAUUAUUAGAUAUUGGCAAACCACAGUAAUUUUAUUUAUUUAUUUUUUUAAGCAAGCAAAUGGACUGGGAAAUAUACUGCUUUCGAAUGCAUCUGUUGAUCACAGUUAAGGAUGAACUUUAACAUUUCGAAAGAGAGAGCCAGCUAGCUAGCAGUUGAUCUCCUGUAUUUUAUAGGUGUAUAUCAUAUGGAGAGACAGGGAGAGAGAGAGAGAGAGAGCCGACCUGCUGUUGAAGCAGGAGGAGGAGCUGAAGCAGAAGCAAUAAAAAAACUGGAAGGAAGAGAUCAGAGAUGGCGGCUGCUUCGCCCACUAGUUCUGAAAUUCAUCCCCUCUCUCUCUCCUCUCUCUUUUUCCUAAUAAGAGCCAAUGAGAAUGAAAAGGAUAAUUCCCACCAUGGCACCGUGGGAGUAGUGUACAUAUAUGGACCUGGAUUGUUUGUCUUUCUAUCCUUUUCUAUUUCUGUGAUCACAUGUUAACAUUUUAUAUUAAAUUUUUUAUAGAAAUAAUAAAUCACGUCAAUAUUUUAUAUUAAUUUUUUUUUAUAGAAAUAAUAAGACAAAAAAAAUGAAAAUAUAAAAUGUUAACAUGUCUUAAUGGUGAUCACAGAAAUAGGAGAGAAUAAGAAUAAUAUGGAAUGAGGAGGGCAAACAAUCAAGGUCCCAUAUAUAUAUAAUGGCAUAAUCAAGGUUCUAAAAAACGUUAGGCACUAGUCAGGUUGUGGGAUGGUGCCUAGCGCCUAGGUUGCUAGGUAAGCGGCCUAGGCGGAUUUAGGUAAAUUUCUUAUAUUUUAUAUAAAUUAAUUAAACUUACUAUAUUAGGUGUAAAUAAUUAUUGAAUAAUAUGUUAUUUCUUAUAGAAGAACAUACACAUGUGAAUGUUUUAUGUACAUAUAUAAUAUGCUUGCCUAGGAAAAAAAACAAAAUAUUAUCUAAAUUAACAUUUAUAUACAUAUAAUAUAGAUAUACACCCCAAACUUUUAAAAUAUAAAAACCCACACAAGUAGGUGGUUUUCAUGAUAAAACCAUCUUACCCUUUAUAAUAUAUAACUUUUAAAAAUAUCAAAAGCUCACGCAAGUGAGGUGGUUUUCAUGAUUACAACUAGACUUGUAAACGGAUAACGUGUUAGAGAUUUUAAUAAUAAAGAUAUAAAUUAUUAUUAUAUAUAUAUAUAUAUAUAUAUAUAUAUAUAUAUAUUGGUGCAGUGCACCAGCAAUGUUUGACAGAUGAUGGGAUUGGAUCAUUGACCCAACAAUCACACCCUUUGUUAAUAAACGCUGCACCUUUCUGUGUUUUGGCGAAAAGGUGUGAUGUAACCGAAUGCAUUUUUGCAUCAGACAAACAUUGUUGCAAUGUUCAGUUGUAUCUCAUGAUGAGAGGAUACACCCAAAACCAAAGGAUAUGUCUAAAGGUGCAAUUCUCUCUAUAUAUAUUGGUAAUAUUAGUAGAAAAGAUUCAUUAAUUCAGAAAUUAGUUAUCUACAUAAUUUCUUUGUUCUCUUUUCUCUCAUCAUCACAUUCAUACAAUUUCUUUCUAGUUAUUUCUAAGGGAAUAUAAUUCGGUUUUGCUAAUCGAAUAUUUCAUACUUUGUUGUAUCCUGGAAGUGAUUUGCCAAGAACCCUUUAGCAAACUCAUUCGAGUGGGGGCAAAUAACACUUUAAGGAAACGAUUCAAGUCGUACCUCAAAGUCAUUAUUCGGAUUAUUCUCCAUAUUUCUAUAUUUAAUCUAACAUAACGGGUCAUCCGAACCCAACCCGUUAAGCUUAACAGGUCACCCGAAUCCAACUCAUUAAACUAAUGAAUCACCUGUUUUAACCCGUUUCACCCGUUAACUACCAUUGAAUUGAAAACCAAAGAUGUCUUUUUUGGAAGUGGAGACCGCAAAGCGAUGAAUCCAAGACGAUGUGAUUGUCUUGCACAUGCCACCAUUGAAUUUGAAUCCUCUCUUCCUCCUUCUCCAUACCUACAAAAAUAAAUUCAGAAAUUAAAUAUAAAAAAAUAAAAACAAAAACUGGCAUCUUCCCAAAUGAAACCCGAAGUGAAAAAUCGAAAUUUUAACAGUUGAAGGAAGCUUACAAUGAGACGUUUCCAUGUAAAUUACAUAACUUUGAGUCUCAUAUCCAACUUGCACCACCACAAAUAUUUGACUUCUCUUCUAGCAAACAGAGAGGUAGACGGCGAGACUCGGGAAGACAAGAAGGUUGUGAGUCUUGCGACUGAAGUUUCUUUUCCAGGCUGCCCAGACCGCACAAUGUCCGUCGAGCCCGCCUAGCCCACCCAGGCGGCUGUCUUACAUCGCUUAAUGUCCUUGCCGAUUUAGUGAACGAUUUCUAGUUAAUUGUGGUGGAGCACCGCCGCCUAGAGCCUAGGUGGCCGCCUAGACCGCGUUUUAGAACACUGGGCAUAAUUGGUCGUCGAUGUCAGUCUGUCUAUUCUCCAAACUAGCAAUUUGUUUAUUCUUAAAAUGCAAACGACGCUUUUCUAUAAGGGCGAAAAGUUUGUUUAUGUAUUUUGACGUGAGUAAUGUUAAAGAAAUUAAAUUUAGAGGAAUAAUUUAUAAAUUAAAUGAUGUGUCAUCAAUACGAAUAAGCAUUUUUAUCAAUGCUUAAGUAAUAAACCAAUCAUAAAUUUCUAUGUCCUUUAAUUUCUAAAACAUACCUACAAAUUUAGUCUUGCUAACAUUAUUCUUUUGAUGUUGGUUUGAUUUCCACUGAUUUCUUUCUUUCAACAAUUAACAAUUUUAUCUACUUAGGCUUUGCCUAAUGUCCGCACAAUUUUACAACUUUCAACAUGCAUUUGCUUUGGGCUGGAUGAUUUUUCUUGACCAAACCAGGAUUAUAAUUCAACAUUAGCAUGAAUGAUUCACACCAUUACAUAUAUAGUCUUACGAGUUAAUGCACAUCGACUUAGGCUUUGCCUAAUGUCCACACAAUUUUACAACUUUCAAUAUGCAUUCGCUUUGGGCUGGACCACUUCUCUUGACCAAACCAAGAUUAUAAUUCAACAUUAGCAUACAUGGUUCACACCGUUUACAUAUAUAAUCUUACGUGUUAUUCUUGUCAAUUCUAAAAAUAACUUUUUGAAUUUUUCUCAACGACAAGAUAUUUGAUAAUGUGGAUGGCAUUAAAUUAUCUCGUAAUCAAAAGAUAACGAGUCAAUGGACAAAGUUGAGGAAUUGGGAGGUGGGCUCGUUUAAGAAAGAAAUCAAAAUUUAACUUUAAAAUGUCCAGUUUGUGAACAACUUGUAAUUUAUGAAAAAAAUUGUUAAAAUGAAGGAUCCUUUGAAUUAAUAUAAUAUUUUCAGUCGUCAUUUCGUUUCGAACUUUAGUUUGCAAAGGUAUAUACUUACAACAUGAUUUUUGUAAUUAUGUUUAGUCAUAAAGGGUUUGGUACACAAACAACAAAUGGUUGCCACAAUUCUAUAGAGGACACAAAUUUAGGCUAUUUUUUUCACUUCCAUAUUCAAUAUGUGCAUAAUGUUUGGUGUGAAGGACAUUUUGUACUUGUCUGUAAGGAACUAUGAAAAUGAAUAUUUCAAUUUACCAUAUACAAUUUUAAUCUCUUCCCAAGUGGUGGAUUGCCCUAGUAUAUAGGGUCUUUCUUUCAUUUCACUACAUCCCGAAUUCAAACCUCAUACUUUCUUUCAAGAGUAUUUUAGUUCUUUUUAUAGUUUACUGUAAAAAUAUCGUUUUUAUUCUUUUUUAUAGCCUUUUUCAUUUUAAAAAGUAUCUAAAUACUUGAGUAACCUGCACGCGUAGAUAGGUAGAUAGAUAAGAUAACGUUACGUAUAUGAAGAUACGUGCGAGAAUACACUGAUUGAGGAAAAACCUAGUUGUAUCCAAGAGACAUACAUGCAAGACUAGCUCAACUUAAACCGAAAAUAACUAGUCAAAACAUAAAACUAAGCUAGUUGGCCUCAUCACGUCUAACUAUUGGACCUACGACUUGUAAUUGUAUGAUGCUAGUCCUUUGAGGUCAGUAGAUCACCGCAAUGUGCCUUUUUUUGUACAUCCAAGUUUUAAUCCGUCUCUAUCAAGUCAAGGAAAAUUUAGGUAUGCUAAAUCAAAGUAAAUUUAAGUAUUUUUCACCAAAAAAGAGAAAGUAAGUAUAGGUAUUUGAAUUGAAUUUCUCCAAAUCAAGUAAAUCUUAAUAAAUGCCCCUUCUGUUUAGAGGAUUUCUCGCGUUGGAGCUGGAGCCCAAGUAGGAAAUUCCUGGUGCCCAAGCCUAGUUUCCACCUCUCUAACAAGCUUAAAAAUGAGUAAACAUGAUAUAAGUACGUACUAUAUACAUAUAUAUAUAUAUAUAUUAGCAUAUAUAUGAAUUUAGUAAACAUGAUAUAAGUACGUACUAUAUACAUAUAUAUAUAUAUAUAUAUUAGCAUAUAUAUGAAUUUAUAAAUGUAUGGAAGAUAAAAAAAAAAAUUUGAAUUAUUUUUAUAAAUGAUAGGUAGAUUACAUUUUGUAGAAAAUUUUAUUAUGUUUCGGUGCAUAAUAUUUGCUAGACAAUAGAUGAUUAGGAUCGUUGUUUUUUUUAUUUGGUCAAAAGUCUGAAGAAAUCGACGGUGUAAGAAUUGGUGCAUAUAAUCGAAAAUCCUAAUCAUAUAUAUAUAUUUUAUGAGGAAACCUAAUCAUAUGAAUAUAUUGUUCGACAAAAAAAAAAUAAUAUGAAUAUAUUGAGGAAACCUAACCCUUGCCUACAAUCUCGUGCCAAUUUCCGCUCCUUUGGACAUAUCCUAGACCUUCCCUGCAUUCUCUCGCAGGUUCUACGGGGCGAAGCUCACUUGAAAUUUACUGGGAGGACGAGGGAGGAGCCGGAUUCAAACGGAAUGGUGAAGGUAAAGGAAAAGGACGCCAAGUCAAAGGCAAGCGAAUUGUUGUUGAGGAGGAAGGAUGGGCAAAUACUUAUUGGUUAUGGAUAACCGCGGUUAUCCGUCCAUUUCAAUUAAACGGUUACGGUUAUGGGUAACCGUUUAGAUAAAUAAACGGUUAUGGGUAAAACCGUUUACCCGCCAAAUUUAAAUGGGCGGUUAUGGGUAUUAACCACGGUUAUAAACGGGUAACCAUUUACCCAUUUAUUUUAUAUAUGUAAAACUAACACAAACCAUGUUCUCGAUCCAAUAAUACUUAGCACCCAAUAAAUUAGCAAGGAAUUCAUCGGUCCUUCUCUCAAUAACACUACUACAGGAAUGAUGAUUCUCAUCAUCAAGGAAUUGGCCAAAUUAAUUUAAAUUCUUUGCGGAUAACCGUGAAAUUGACAGAAAUGUCUUUUAAACAAUUUUUGUAACCCAAUAAUACUUAGCAAAUAUUAUAUUUACCUUCAUUGGUAACAGUUAAAAAUAUCGUCCGUAAACUAUUAUUUCAAUUAUUGGAAUUGUAUAAGGACUUAAAAAUUAAAAUAUGGAAAUGUAUGAUGAAUCUACCUAUAACGGUGUUUAAUUGUCAAAAAAAAAUUAUGACAAUUUUUUUUUUAAUUUUCAAGUUGUUAAAAAACAUGUAGACGGGUAGAAAAAGGGUAAUGGUAAAAAAAAAAGAUAAACGGGUUAAAAAUGAUAAAUGGGUAAACGGGUAUUAAACGGUUACGGUUAAAUGGGUAUGCGGUUAUGGGUAUGGGUAUAACAGUUUAGGCAAUUACCCAACGGGUAAACGGUUAUGCGGAUAUGAGCAUAAACGGUUAUGGGUAAAUUAACCGCGGUUAUCCGUUCGCAUAACCAUUGCCCAUCCCUCGGAGGAAGGGGAUCCACACAGCCAACAAGGCGACUCAGAGAUAAGAGCGCGACGCUGAUUGCCGCUUCUUGCACGACUGUGUUUCAGAUAUUUUCGCCCAGUGCCUCAAGUCUGAUAUUGAAAAAUUUCAUCAUCACAAGGAUCAUGACCAUGACCAUCAUGAUGAUUACUACUUGGAGAUUACCCAAGCGGCUACCUCUUUGCCUACCACCGCUGAUCAUCAUAUGAUGUUCAAAAACAUUGCAAGGAAGGUUUUCCCGCCAGAAUCAUGCCGCCGAGAAGGGGAUGGUAGUGUUUGUUAUAUUGACCGACUGAGGAAGGAGGUUUUGUCGCCCUUGAGAAAAACUUGUUGGAAAUUAUAUAUUAUAAUAUGAAAUAUUGUAAUAUAUAAUUUUAAUAAUUGAAUGAAAAAUAGUGUUAACCAAUUUCUUAGAAAUGUUAUGUUGUUUAACUGAUAUUCCCUUGAUAAGUGAUGUCUAUUUAUAGAUGAAAAGUUACAUCUCUUUAAUAAGUAGAAGUUGGAUUCUAUAUAAACCCAUGAAAUCAUUGGUAUUAUAUAUAGAAAAUUAGAGUUAAUUUUUACUCUUGAGAAAUAGGGUUUCCCCAAUUUUUUUCUCUCAUGCUUCGUGUCUCAAAUUCCGAGUCGUGUCUUGAGAGUACGGAAUAUAUAAAGUUCGCCAGAGUCCGAAGAUUGAAGUGCUUUGACUUCGAAUUAUAGAUUGUUGAAUCUUGGAAGAUUGACGCCUACCGAACUACAAGCACAAUAGUAGGGACGAAAUUCUAUCUUUAGAACAUUGCAUUUAUGUAAGCCUCAAUCUCCAAGUUUGUCAGUUAUUCUAACUUUCACUCUAGUUGUUUAUAUUAAUCUCAUAUAUAAUUGAUGUUAUGAAUUUCUUUAUGAUUAUUAUCAUUGGAAUUAUAUUCCUAUUUUUCAUAUUUUCUAAUAUUGCUCCAACAAAAAUAUGACGCCAGAGGGCUGGGAACCUGCCAACCGGUGGGGUUAUAGAGCGGAGUACAAGCGAAAGCAACUAGCUGCAGCAAAUGAGAUUGAUCCUGGAGAUGCCGCGCUGCUUCCGCAUGACAUAUUAAGCUAUGUCAUGUAUCCCGAGCUCGAGCAAGAUGCUGAUGUUAAGUGGAAGAAAAUGGUGAAGGUCUACUUAAAGCAGGGGAAGCUGAAGAAUUGGUUGGCUGUGUGUGAUGUCGACAACUCCUUGUCGGCGGGUUUGGCUUUGGGGCUUUUGUUGCCUCAAUUGAGUGACGAGCUAUGAAGCAUGGAUACGGAUACGGAUACGGCGAUACGAUACGACACGACACGGCGAUACGGAAAAUCUCUAAAAAUUAAGAUACGAUACGCUAUGGAUACGGCAAAUAAAAAUCUAUAUAGCAACAAAAAUAUACAUUUUAAAACAUAAUUCAUCAUUCAAAUUCAAGUACAUUUUGAGUUGUUAGAGAAGGAAAGUUCAAAAUCUAAUCCUCUUUAUACAGUAGAAGAAGUGUGAGAAUCGUAUUCAUGGUUUUAAUUAGAGGGAAGCUCUUUGUAUUUAGCAACUUUCAAUUAUAGAUGUCUCCUAUUAAUUUUCUCCUCCUCAUUACCUUUUUUUGAAAGUGUAAAUGUAUUUUAAAAGCAGGAUACGUGUAUCCUGAAUGUAGGAUACGCAUAUCCAUUAUGUCAAAUUCGUGUCCAUCAACCAGGAUACGUGUCGGACGAGUAUCCGAGAGUAUCGGGCAAGUAUCGUAUCCGAUCAAGUAUCGGAUACGGGAUACGGGACCAAACAGAAGUAUCCGUGCAUCAUAGGUGACGAGCCAGUAAAAAGAUACUUACAAGCUUUUCAUUUAAUUUCUUCAAAGCAUCAAAGUCGAUUUUUGAACUCAGCCUCUGCAAGAAAAAAGAAUGCCAUGUAAAUAAUUGUUGGAUAAGAUAUAAGUUGCAUCAUGCUGGAGGAAUAAUACUUAAACGAAGUAUAUCCAUCAGCUAAUUCCCUUACCUCCUUGUUAUUUAUCACAGUAGAAACUUUGGCGGUUUUUUCUGCAGGUGGAGCUUUCUUGGCUUUUCUGGCUCGUUUUCUGCUCUUUCUCUGCCAAAAUUAUCCAUUGUAUGUAGAAAAUUAGAAAUCGAUAAGUAAGGCUCAAUGCUGGCAGUAAAACAAAGACAGAUAAACAAAAGGGAAAAACUAAAUAAUAAAUCAAAUGCAGAUAAGAUUAAAAAAUAUUAAAAAUGGAUACUUUAGAUGCGGUCCUUAAUCUUUAACAUUCUUUGACUAAAACCUUAAUGGUAUUCAAAGUUUGAUCAAAGUACCUUGACUUUGUACACCUCAUUAUAUUACAAUUAAUAUUUAUAUUUUUAUAGUUUUGACAUUAAUUGUUUGAUAUUUUAUGAGAUUUAUAAUCCUAUAAAUUUAAAAUCCCUCAUUAUAAUACUAUUAUAAACAGUUAUAAUAAAAAAAAUUCAAACAUUUUGAUUGAAUAAAUAGAUAAAACUAUGUAUAAAUAAUAAAUGGCAAAAGAAUGUAUCCAUAGUGUUAAAAAAAUUGGUACAUUUCACAUAUAACAAAGUGGUACAUUAAUAAAGAAGAAUGGGUACAUUAUAAAUAAAUUAGGGUACAUAUAAAAGAUUAAAAAAUUAUGAGUACAAAUGACUUUUUAAAAAAUAUAGGCGCUAAAAUAAAUUAAUACACGGGUACAAAAUAAAACUAAAAAGAAAAUACUACAAAUUUAAAAAAAAUGUUGCAAAUUAAAAGUGGGUACAACCUAAAAAUAUAAAUAUAUAAUACAAAGUUUAGGCAUAAAACAUAAAUAUACCAUAUGUAAUUUUUCUAUCAUUGAUUAAAUAUACAAUGUCACGUGACGGUAUACACAUAGGUACAAACACAAAUAAAAUUUUUAAAAAUAUGGGCACAAAAAGAAACUAAUAUAGGGUACAAAUUAAAAAUGAAAAAAUUUUUGUACAAAUUAAAAAUAGGCACAAACUAAAAAUAAAAAUAUAUGAUAAAAAAUUUAGCCAUAAAUAUAAAUAUACUAAUUGUAACAUUUUUAACACUAAAGGAAUAUAUUUAAAAAUAAAAAUAUUUUAUUAUUCAAAUAAUUAAUAAUGUUAUUAAUACCCAAUGACCUUGAUCAAAAAUUGAAAAUGAAUAAGAUUUUAAUCAAUAGAGUAACAAAAAGAAGGAUGUGAACCUAAUUUCUCCUAUUAAAAAUGUUAACCAUCACCCAAAUACUAAUUUGUAAGCAGGUGUGACACCAAUAACAGUUGAGAAUUUAGGCACAAAAUGGUGAAUAAGCUGAAUGAAUCUUCCAAGCAUACACUUUAGAGAACAAUGCACGCAUGACAGUUUGGAAACAUGCAAGGAUAAACUCAAAUAAAGUAAAUAUUGGGAUGAACCACGAGAAAUUUUUCUAAGUACCUGUCACACAAGCUGACUAGGAGUCCCUUACUAAUAAGCAACUGACACCUAUCCUUCUACUUCUCAAGUGACACUAAAAUACCCAUUUUACCCUUAUAUACAUUUCACAAAAUAAUUAAAUAAUUAAAAAAAAUUGAAGUUGUGGGGUGAGCUCCAACGCUUUCCUGCAAAUCGAAAGUACCCAUUUUUCCAUCGCCCAUCCCCAUAUCCCAUCCCUUUAUCCCUCCACGGCUUCACCAGUCCACCCAUCCUGCCCUUCCGCAUCACCUCUCUCCCUAUCUCUUUCUUUCUCUCUCUCUUCCCCUUUGUAUUUCUUCUAUUUCCUGCUCCAGAAUAAGAACAAAAAAAAUGUCGGCGAACUCCGGCUGAUAGAUCGAGAUUGGCGACAACAGAUCUGAGUUGGAGUCGCCGCCGACAAUCUCUGGGUUCCAUGUAGAGUUAAGAGCGGAAGAGAGAAGGGAAAGGAAAGAAAGAGAAGGUCGAACAGAGAGAAGGAUGAUGAUGCCAGAAAAAUCACCGACCGGUGAUGGAGGUGGGUGCGAGUGGUUCGGCGUCGUCAUGCUCGGGGGCCCCUGAUGUCAUUUUGACUUUAUUUUAAAAUAAUUGUCAAUUUUUAAAUAUAAAAGAAUAAAAUAUACAGAUGUCAAAUGCUUAUUAGUAGAAUUCCAGGUCAGCAUAUGUGACAGGUACCUGGAAAAAUUUCUCAUAAACCACAUAGCUAAGCUAGCCAUACUGAAGGGUAAGGCUAUUCCGUGAUACAAUGAAUAAAUUCAAGGUUUUGGUUAGAAGGUCCUACUUUGAAAGGAAUGAUUUUACUGCAACGAAAUGCAUAAAAAGUGCAAGCAAGACACCAGUUCCAAGAAAUGUGCUCUAUCAUAACUGAAAUUGCCUAUUUAAUGGGGCUUAAGGAUUCAAAAUUUGUUGUUUUACGUGCUUAGGAUCUUAAAAGAAGUAUUCUUCGUAGAUUAGCCAUAGUUUUAAAGAUUAGGACUAAAAACAAGUUAAAUGUCUGGAAGACAAAGGGAUUGUUGCAAAUUUCAGUUAGCAGCAUGCUUUUUGAAUUUGGGGGCUAAAAGUUUGAGAAACCAGAAAGAAAAAAAAAGGUCAAAGAUUAGGGCUUUUGAAUCAAGCACGAAAAGAGGGAGAGCACAAAAGUUCUAGAAAGAGAGAAUUGAGUUAAGAACUUCCAAAAAAUCAUUGAGCUAAAGAGUAAAGGAAGAAUGAAGAGGCAAAGAGUGGAAGGAAGAAAACCAGAAACCCAUACAAGGAAAAUGUAUACCAGUACGGUCAUGAUCAAGUGCAAAAUCCCCUCAAUCGUUCACUCUGAACAGUCAUGGCCAUAGAAAAAAAAAGACGAAAAAUAAGAACAAAACCAUCGAAUAAACAGAAACUACGAAAUUGCCUAACAUUGCACCAAAUCCUUGUGAAAACAAAUGUCAAAAUAUAAACUUGCAAAGGCAUUACCUGAUCGUAGUUCUUGUUAAGUACUUCCCAAAUUAAUCUUUUAAACCGUGCCGCCUCCUUGCUGUUAAGGUAUCCAGCAACCUAAAAAAUAGAAGCAUGAGUUCUUCCAUAUCGAAAUUCACAAACGAAAAAUAGAAGCAACAAUCACAUACGAAUCCAAAUCACUAUACGGCCUACCGAGUAGGCUAUGAUGGAAGUGUUCUCUGAUGGAGAGGUGGGUGUAUCCUUCAGGAUCUCUGCUUUUAUCUUUCAUUAAAUCCCCCCCCCCCUAAUUAUCAGACACGGAAAAUGUGGUCGACUGUCAUGAACCAAGAACGGAACUUUUCACAAUAACUAUGACAUAAAAGUCCAACAACGUAGCAUGCAAAAUUAAUUCUUAUUAUCAUCGAAUAUUUUGGGCACCAACCUUAAAUUUAUCAACUUAUGGAGAAUGGGCGGGCAGACACCAUUCCACGAAAACAAUUCAGAAAAUUGAAAAAAAAAUAAUAAGAAAGCAAUGCCUGCUUUAUCUGCAUACCUCGGAGUCGUCGAUAUCUGAGAGGCUUUCUGAGACAUCGCCAUCCGCAGUUGACAUUGCAGCUUCCCUCCUUCUUUUGUAAACUCUCGGAUCUUUUGAAUUUUAUGUAAUUUUAGGUCUUGGGUUUUCCAGUUUUCAUGGAACUAGAAUUUAUAUAGACAGUAAUGUCGGCGACCAAACAAGAACCGACCUAGUUCGGUUUCCCUUUUAGAACUGGAAUGGUGGAACCCAACCAUGCUGUUCUCAAAUCAAAUCAAAUCAAAUCAAGUUUUGGUUCUUAUUUUUUGAGUGGUGUAUGUUAGAUGUUAGAUUUGGAUCUAGUUUCUUUUUUUUACUGUUUAUUUUAAUGAAAAAAAAGGUAAUCACAGAAUAACAGUCCAAAAUCUACAGUGCUAGGCCCAAAAUAGUAUGGAAAAUAAACCAGGAAACUAGAAAAGCUCAGCUCAAUCUGAAAACCAUGUGGAUUUUUUUGGUAAACAAACCAUGUGGUAAACACAAACGGCAUGCAUUACAUUUACAUUGUAGAAACACAUUAUUAUUCCUAUUGUUGGAACCAAAUUCGAGCACAACCGUUGAUAUACGAAUAAUCAUUGGAAUCUCUUGAAUACCGAUAAAUAAGAGAAUUGUUUGAGGGAUAUAACCAAAUUCGAAAAUGAUUGCCUACAUAUUUCCUCGUCAAAGAGGGAGAAUCAAAUCGUGUAUAGUCCAUGCAUGAGUUGCAUGAGCAUGUAGAGAUGUAUUUGAGCAUUUAUGCUUUAGAUGAGAUAACAGAUAUGCGUUAUAUCUCUUUGGAUGGAAUCCUAGUAGCUUCGAUAUUUAGAGAUGAGAUCCUUCAACUCUUUGUCUUGCUUUGCAUGAAUGCUUAUGCACAUGUAAAGCAACAUAUCAAAGCCAAUAUUCUCAUGCUAUAAUCAUGCAAAUGUAAGGUGUAAAACAAUAAUUCAUUUAGCAAUCCAAACACACAAAGCGUCAUUCACGUCAAAUAAAAUGAUAAGAGUAAGAAUUAAAGUUAAGUAGGUAAAAGAUUAUCUUACCAUCAUAUUGUUCUCCUUAAAAUUUCAUUAUUUCAAUUUUAGCUCUUUCGUAUAUUUCUCCUUCCAUGUUCUUUAUUUUUAGUGUGGAUCAGAUUCAAAACCCUUUUACCCACACCUACUCACAUUUUUUUCCCCAUUAACCGACUCCCUCUCACCUUUCUUUUCAACUCUCUCCCAACCUUCCAAAACCUCUUUAUGUUCCUUCUUUUAUUCCAGUUCUUUCCCUUCCGGUAGGCUAUUCUCAUUAGGGAUGGGCAACGGUUAUUUACUCAUAACCGUUUAUACUUAUACCCGCAUAACCGUUUACCCGUUGGGUAAUUACCUAAACGAUUAUACCCAUACCCAUAACCGUUUAUAAACGGUUAAUCGUACCCAUAACCAUAUACCCAUUUAACCGUAAUCAUUUAAUACCCGUUUACCCAUUUAUCAUUUUUAACCCGUUUAUCUUUUUUUUUUUUGGUCUUUUGAUAUGAGUCCAAUUUUAUAAGCCUAUUUUGAAUGGAAUCCACUUGUAUUACAUAAGCAUAAGUGGGGGCUAGUAAGUACAACAAUAAUCCAUGUCAGCAAUUAAAAUGCACAUAAUUUACCAACAAAAUUACAACAACUGCCAUUAGAUGGUUUAUUAGGUGUCUUGCAGGUUAAACUCAUUGUUUAUUCAAAAGAUCCCAUUUAUUAGUACUCUUGCAGAUCAAACGUCCCCUUUAUCCUUAUCCUCCUAUCUUUCAAAUUUGUUUGCGUCCGUAUCCAGCGGAAACCGGGUUUUGAAUCCUAAAUCCGUAUGAAGCUAUGAAAGCUAUAAAUUUUCUCCCAGUAUAUGAUGGAAACAAAAUAGGCGAUUAUCUGGUUCGGGUUUCCUAUUAUACCUGGAGAACAGGUAGUGUAUCUUCUCGGAAGAUUUCAGCUUCGUACAUCGUAAUCUGGUUUUUUUUUUCGAAUAUUUUGAUUUGGUGAUUUGGGCUUUGUUUUUUGCAGUGUUCGUUACCUGGAUAACAGGUAUUACACUCCAUCGAUUUCAAUAUCAGUAUUUGAUAACAGGUGCUACCGUAUCUUUGCUCUAAAUUUCUUUUCUUUUCUUUUUUCACUUCAAUUGUUCGAGAUUUUAGAGUUUGACGACGAGUAUGAAUUGGUGGCCAGUGUUUACGACGCAUUAGUGAAGGCUUGCACUAGUUUGAAAUCGAUUAGGGGGGUUAAGAGGGUUUAUAAUUACAUAUUAGUAAUGGGUUUGAGUUGGAUCAGAAUACAAAAAACAGGGUGCUGCUUAUGCAUGUGAAAUGUGGGAUGAUGAUUGGUUGAAUUUGUUUCUCUAGUAUUUUGGUAUGCUGCUUUGACUUUUUACUUUUGUGGUGUUUGAUACCUAGAUUACAGGUACUAUAGUUCAUACCCUUUUUUUUUUUUGUUAAACAGUUAUGACUGUGGAGCUACUGUGAUGUAUAUUGCACAAAAAAAAGCUGAUGGAGAAUUAGUCGAAGGUGUCUCUUCGGCAGAGGCAAUGAAGAAUAUGAGAGCACAUGUCCUUUGUAGAUUCAUAAAUGAGGGAGAUGGUAGCUGGGAAAAGGAAGAGUAGGAUAAAGAUGUUAUGCGAAAUUUGAGUUUUUGUUUCAUAUAAGUGUUUCAAUUUAAUAAAUGAUGGGACUCCAAUCCAUCCGAAUUCAUUUUCUGCUAUAUAAGUUUGGAUGUUAUGUGAACUGAGAUAUGCUUUGUCAUAUCUGUUUUUUAAUUUCAAUUUCCAGUGAAAGGGGAUAUUCUUCAUAUUUUCCUUUAUUGAUUUCACAAUAAGAUUUGUUUGUAAUCUCAGAUAAUGUUAUUUUGUCAUUAUCUGGACAUACUUCGUCUGGUGUCAUUUCAAAUUGUACAAGGAUAGGUACUUUCAAAGUGUUGAUAAAACAUGGUUGUCAGUAAUUUUCCUACAUGUUAGGUAGUUUAAAACCGUUUGAAAAAGUAAUGUACCUGUACAACUAAUUGUGUCUUGAAAAAUAAUAUUCUACAAGGAUAGGUAGUUUAAAACCGUUUGAAAAAGUAAUGUACCUGUACAACUAAUUGUUAUCAAGAAAUCAGGAAGAAAGAUGAACUGAAUAAUGAAUUUGAAUUCUGAUAAAAAUUUAAAACGUGGGAAAUAUAUGGAGAACGUGCAAAAGUCAUAGGAGGGUAAAAUAGUAAUAAUAAUGCAAAAAAAUCAACUUAAUCAGAAAAAUUGCUGACAUGGAAUCCUAGUCAUUGGAGCUAAGUCAAAAGUAACUAAAAAUUGGACUAAUUCUAAUGUUGGGCUAUAAAAUUGGACUGAUUUCAAGUUUCCCCUUUUUUUUUACUAUUACUCCUUUUUCAUCCAUCUACAUAUUUUUUAACAACUUGAAAAUUAAAAAAAAAUUGUCAUAAUUUUUUUUUUUUGACAAUUAAACACCGUUAUAGGUACAUUCAUCAUACAUUUCCAUAUUUUAAUUUUUUAAGUCCUUAUACCAUUCCAAUAAUUAAAAUAAUAGUUUAUGGACGAUAUUUUUAACUGUUACCAAGGAAGGUAAAUAUAAUAUUUGCUAAGUAUUAUUGGGUUACAAAAAUUGGUUAGAAGAUAUUUAUGUCAAAGUAUUUCUGUCAAUUUCACGGUUACCCGCAAGGAAUUUAAAUUAAUUUGGCAAAUUCCUUGAUGAUGAGAAUCAUCAUUCCUGUAGCAGUGCUAUUGAGAGAAUGACCGAUGAAUUCCUUACUAAUUUAUUGGGUGCUAAGUAUUAUUAGAUCUAAAACAUGGUUUGUGUUAGUUUUACAUAUAUAAAAUAAAUGGGUAAACGGUUAUCCGUUUAUAACCGCGGUUAAUACCCAUAACCGCCCAUUUAAAUUUCGCGGGCCAUAACCGUUUAUUUAUCUAAACGGUUACCUAUAACCAUAACCGUUUAAUUUAAAUGGACGGGUAACCGCGAUUACCCAUAAUCAAUGGGUAUUUGCCCAUAUGUAAUUCUCACACCUUCACUUCCCACAAACACCCCCUUCUUUCUCUUAUCACAGAAUCACAGAUGACAAAUUACAAAACAACACUCUUCUCUCUCUCUCUCUCUCUCUCUCUCAGUUGUUUUCAUUUUUAUUCACUUGUUGCUCACACUCUUUUCUUUUCUUUUCCUUGCCUCUCACAACUCCCUCGACACCUCUCUCUCUUUCCUUCUUUUAUGCUUUUCUUCAACCCCUUAUCUUCUAUAAUAUAGCUGAAAAUUUGCAUUUGUAACAGGAGUAGAAUUGGUUAGCAACAUAAAAUGGAGAUGUAGGCCAAAGAGGCUGGCUGAGAAGGCCAGCUCAACCGUAUAUAAGCUGCUCAAACUGAUGUAUAGGCCAACAUACAGAUUAGGUUGUCGAGAUGUUUGGAUAUUUUAUAGAAGAGAUGAUAAGGAACAAUUUUUGUGAAAGAAGUGUUUUUGUUUGAUCACAGUAAAUUGGAUUUUUAAGCUCCAAACAUGACUCUAAGGUUUUCUGCAGAUUUUCAAGGCUGUCAUGGUAUUUUGAUAAUCUGGAAUGAAUGGACAGUUAGAUCUUUCUGAGACUUUGAUAUGUUAAGAUAGAGAGAAUAAGGAACAAUUUCUAUGAAGAAAGUAUUUUUGAUAUGAGCAAGAGAAAAUGUAGUUUCGAAGCUCACAACAGGCCUGACUGGUUGAUUGAUGAGUGCUGAGCAGUCACUGAUUAUACCUGAGUUUCUGCAGUUAUACAGCUCCUAUGGAUCUCAUAUUUGGAUAUGUUGUAUAUAACGAGUUAACAAACAACUUUCUUGAAGACGGCUUUUUGAUUUGAACUAUAGAAAAUGGUAAUUUGAUCUGCAAAACAGAUAUGACGAAUUUCUGGUUCUUGAAAUUCUUUCUCUUGAUAACUAGAAGAAGAGAGAUUUGUUGGUUAAGCUCUUAUGCAUUUUCUGGGAUUUGUAUGUGAUUUCUUUCUCAGGAUUCUCGUUGAAAAAUAGAGGGAUAUUUGGUGGUGCUUCACGGAGUUGGAUAAUGGUGUUUCACUAGAACUUGAUAACACAUUCACAUAAACACACAGUAUUGGAGUGGUUCGGCAAAGUGACUACAUACAUUGGGGUUUGCUUUCAUUUGUAUUUCACUAUAUAUGAGAGACUUACAAAUACAAUGAAAGAUGACUUAAAGCGUUUACAUAAGGUAAAAGAAAUGGAUGAUGAAAUAGGAAUGGUCUGAGAAAGAGAACAUUCUUUUUGCUAGUGUGUUCUUGCUGGUGUGGUGUUCUCCCUUUUUUUCCUCAUGUCCUUCUUCUAGUUCUUGCCCCUUCCUUUAUAGGGAUCAUAUGAGAUCUUCCUUCUCACAACAUGUACAAUCUAACUUGAGGAUAAAAGCUCCCUAGUGUCCCAAUAGAAAGACACCAAGUAUUGUGCACAUUAUUAGCCAUAAUAUGUGUUCGAAUAGCAAGACAAUUGUGUUAAACUAAUCAUUAAUAAUGAUAUGUGUUCCAAUAACAAAACAACAUGUGUUGAGCUAAUCAUGAACAAAAAAAUAUCAUGUAAGAUGGAUGCAUGUCUAAGGCCACUUACGUUAAAGUUUAUCUUAUGGUAAACUUGUUGUAACAAAACAUAUGGUAACUCUACAAAUUGGUAGGAUAUCCAGAUGAAUCGAUGAUGGUGAAUUAAAAGCUCCAAAACCCAUUGUUAUAAUCACACCUCAAACUAAAACCAAAAGAGUAGCAAAGUAUUUAGUUGCUAGUGGGACGCAAAUGAGAAAUACAAAGCCUAACAAAUCAAUCUACAAAUAAAGUGAAACAUAUAUGUAUUUGUUAACUAUUGAAAAAAAAGAACUUGGUAAAUCAAACUUUAGCGCAAAACACAAAUUAAAAGUACUUUGACACUUAUAUAUAUAUAUAUAUAUAUAUAUAUAUCCACUUUUUAAAAUACAGAGUAUUACACUUGUUUAAGUCCUUUCACGAUCUAGCUUAACAUACACGACAUUGUUCUCCUUUUAACUCCAAACAUGAACUUUCCCUUCCUAAAAACUUAGGCUUCAAAUCAUUUCAAUUGUUGCCUAAUUUUUUAGGGAGGAAAACUCAUAUUUGGAUCCAAAAGUAGAAAAUGUUAUGGAUGUUAGACCUGAAUCGUGAAAAGAUCGUAACUCUAUAACAAAUAUACUUUUGAUUUUGAAUUUGUUUUUGUAUUGCAUAUGGUUCAAUAUUAUUAAGUUUCCACCCAGGUGUCCCAGCUUCGGAAUUCUCCCCUUAUAAGUUAUUUAAAAAAAGGUAACAAAUUGAAAUUUGAAUAAAAGUUAAGGUGACAAAUAAAAAAUUUGCCUUUUCUUCUCUAUUCUGCAACUAGACCAUCAACAUCAAGGCUCAAUUUAUAGGAUUUGGAUCCUCUUUUGAGCAAAGGAGACGGAGCCUCCUAACCCAAAUACACAGACCGUUAGAUUUUGAUCAAACGACUACAAUUAUUUUAACUUUUAGAAAGGCCUCCUAUUUGUAACCGUUUGAUCAAAAUUCAACAGUCCGUGUCUUUAGGUCAUGAGGAUUCGUCUCCCUUACUCAGGAGAGGAUCCAAAUCCCAAUUUAUAGACCCAAAAAGGCCUUAUUAAAUUAUUUGAAUUCCCUGAACACAUUCUUAAAUUUUAGUGGUGGGAUCUUCAUCCAGUGGUGGUGGUUCAUGAACAUAUCUAUUAACCUUUUGUAUGAAUAAGUAGAAUAUACAUCCAUCUGCUAAGAUAUAUUCAAAUCUGGCAUGCCAGUCCCCUGCCCACUACCAAAAGCCAGAGCUAAAGUAUAAUUAUAAUUAAUUAUUAAAAUGUGUUAUAUAAAAGGAAAGGGUCCAAAACAAGUACAAGGGUGCACAAAGGGAUAAAAGGAGCAUGCAGAAAUCAUUUCCUAAUAUUUAUCACCUUCCUUUUCCUCUAAUGCCAGCGAGCAGUGAUUGAGUGACGUUUACAGGAGAAGAUGCAGGGUCAAUCCAGGAAGUGUUAGCACCACUUGCAUUGCUGCCUCCUGGCUGAUAGUUGAGGCGAACAUUACUAUCCCUGGAUGCAGUUGAUGGGGUAUCAUCCUCCACCAAAAAUCUACCUGUUGGCAAUGUUGUUACAUCUUUAAAAUCAUAAUCUGUCAAAUAGCUUGGCUUCAACAUGAUAGUGCCUAUGUCAAUGUCUCCAGAGAGCAUUGCAACCACGCGUGACAUAGAUGGCCUUGCCAUCGGUGAUCCCUGCGUGCACAGGAGAGCUGCUCUUAUCAAUCUAGUUGCUUCAGUUUCAUCAAACUCUGUCAAUCUUGGAUCCACCAGCCCCAGAGUUUGGUCAUUUUCAUGUAGAGUCCAUACCUGAAAAACAUUAUGCCACGGUCAAAGGAAAGUAUUAAGUUUUUCACAACACUUCCAAAAUGAAGCUAGGGGGAUGCAAUUCCUACCCAUUCAAGAAGAUAAAUCUUUUUUGGAUCCAAGUUAUUGUAAGAGUUUGGUCUCCCGCUAAGGAUCUCCAAAACAACGACUCCAAAACCAACACAUCGGCCUUCUCUGUCAAAUGUCCAAACAAUGCAUACUCCGGUGCCAAAUAGCCUCUGCAAUGCAAGAUAAUAAAAUGGUUGCACAAUGUUGCUUGAGAUCAUUAGAGGCAUUAUUAACAUGUGUUCAAAUUUCAUGCAAGUAUAAAUGUGUGUGGCCAUAAUAUAUGUAUCCUCUAGAAAAACAAUAAAGGAUGGCUAACAUUGUCCCUGCAACCCGGGUGCUGAUGUGGGUUUUCUCGUCAUCAUAAAGCUUUGCCAGUCCAAAAUCUGAUAUUUUUUGGGAGAGUUCUGCAUCGAGCAAAAUAUUACUCGCUUUGACAUCGCGAUGUACAAUCCUUGGCCUUGACUCCUCAUGAAGGUAAGCAAGUCCUCUUGCUGUUCCCAACAAUAUAUUGAAUCGAGUCGGCCAGUCAAGGUGCAAGUUACUUGUUCCUGAAAUAUUAGUGAACACAUCCAAUCAAAAACAUUUCUUAACAAUUUUAGAGUGCUUGAAACUGCAGACAAUGUUGUUUCUAUGCAACCUAAAAGUAGAUAGGUUUGUACCAAAAAGUGCUUGAUCAAGGCUCUUGUUUUCAAGAUACUCAUAAACCAAAAUGCGUUGGCUGCCUUCAAUGCAGCAUCCAUACAAUUUCACUAGAUUCCGAUGUUGCACAGCAGAUAUGGUAGAAAUUUCUGAUACAAAUUGACUCUUCCCUUGGUGAGAUGCUACUGAAAGUUGCUUCACAGCCACUACUCUCCCAUCAGAAAGUGUACCCUAUAAUGUACACAGAAACACAAUUUAGUGACAUGAAAGGAAAGAAAAAAGAAGCUUUAUUUUCUUCUCUCGCUCGCUUUCCCUUUCUCGUCAUUACUUCAAGUACAUGAUACUGAUGUAAUACGGAUUUCACCUUGUAAACAGGGCCAUAUCCUCCUUCUCCUAACUUAUUUGAAGGAUUAAAAUCUUCGGUUGCAACUCUCAACUCAGAAUAACUAAAAGUAUUUGGUCGAGGGCCUAAUCCUAGAAUAUCUGCACAUUCACGAAACAGUGUGACAUAAGUUUUACUUUUGUAAAAGCAUUCCUACUUCUGUGUGUUAAUGUCAAAGCAGAGAAACCUGAAUUGGAUACCACUAAUAAUAUGGUCGUUUACCUUCGUCAUCCUCUUUUUCUGAUUUUUUCCUCCUCAUAUAUAGAAUCGCAAAUAUUAAUAGCAAGCUCACAACUCCAACAGGAACUGCAAUACCAACUAUCAACCCAGUCCUGCUCUUCUUUCCUGGGGUAGUUGGUGGAAGCCCGGAAACUGUUGGUGUAAAAUCUGAGUGAUAAAACAGACGAAUUCUUCAGUGUCGAUUAACAGUAGAAAAAUAUAUUUAAACCAUUCACAAGAAAUCUCUACUAGUUAACACAAAUUAUACCUGAAGCAGCAUGGACAGCUGCUAUUAGUGAGCCGUAAUCACCUUGAUUGGGUAUGCAACAAGUCCCUUUACCAGCCCAGAACAGAUGAAUUUCAAGAUAAUUCUCUGACACGCUAACAUUGAAUCUUUUCAUAAUUCCUAGGUUAACCCCACCUGCCUCCUUGGAUAUGUCAAAGUCCUGCAUCCUGCAGAUACCCUAGCAACCAAAUGAAGAGCUAGGUCAUAAUUCUAGUCUCCUUUAAAUCAUGGAAGACUUUGGAUGCAGUCCAUAACUACCAAUGUUUUUUGACUGAAACCUUGAUAGUUUUUUGUUUUUUAUUAAAGUAGCUUAAACUAUCGAAAACCUGUCCAAUGAGUCUUUACUUCAAAUAAGAUAGAUUUUUUUUUUCCAUAAGCAGCCAUACCUGAAUAUAGAUGUCAAAUACACGCCGUCCUAGACUUUCCCAAGUUUGCUGAAUGCGCCUAUCAAAAACCGUCUCUGCAAAGUGCAAUGUUACAGUGUAAGGUCCAUUCUCAAGACCCAGGCCAUAGUAUCUCAGUGAUCCUGGGGACAAUCUUGAAGUCUGGAAAAGCUCUGGGGUCACAUCUGUUCCGGUGACUUGUGCAAGGGUAUUUUCCAGAAACGAUCGGUUCACUCCGUCAGAAAACAUACCGACAUUGCUGACAGCCCAUUUCUCUGUACUGGUUACAUUGAAUGUUGCUGGACCAAGAGCUGAGUCUUCGGCCUCAUACGAUAUGCCAUCACGUCCCUUCAUUUCCGGUCCACCACAGUUGAUUGAGAAGUUUGCAUCUGUAAGUUUCAUGUAAUACCAGAAUCUACCCAUGAUUAGCGAUGAAACUUCAAAUUGAAGACUCGUACUAAUGUUUUUCAGUCACAUAUUUGUGACCAGAGAAGCAAUCUAUAUCCAUAUGUAUACAUAACCAGAGAAGCAAUGCCUUCUCCUCUAACAUGACGUUGCGUUAAAACAGUAAAUGUUGGGUGACAUAAAAGCAGAUUACAUCGUGGGGCAUUUCGAUUGCAUGGAAAUUUUUUCUGGAGGCAAUUCAAUCCAGGAAGAGUAAUGCAAACACAGAGAACAAUUAUUAGUUAUCCAGAUAGAAACAUAUAGUGGAAGAGUAGUGAUAGUAUUGCUUGUCUAAAAACCGGCAACAGAAACUUCAACUCACGUUAUGUUUUUUUUGUCAAAUGUGAAGUUGUUGACCACUAAGUUCCUGCAUAAAAUCAUUAAUCAAUCAACAUGUGAAGAAAUAUAUCUCUGUCAAAUGAAAAUUCCAUGUACUCUCAAAACUUAAUAGGCAAGUAGCACUGUGAGAACGAAUCGCAGUGAUAUUUUUUGUCCCAACAUAUUCUGGGGAUUUAAACUGUAAAAUGAAGGUGAAAGAUAAAAGGUGAUGUACAGUUGCGAUAUUGUGGUCACCCACUGGGGAAAGCUACCUGAUAAAAAAUUGUAAGACAAAUCUCUGCAAAUAACAAAAUAGAAUCAUAAGACACAAAAUACAUGAAAGUUAUAAGAACUUGUGUAAGAUAAAGGAUUAGAAUGCUUAAAAAAUGCACAAACACAUACAUGCACGUGCAGACGCACGUACAAAGUACUGGUUUCAGUGUCAAUAGACUCAGUACAUUCUAUAUGACUACUUUUAAUACAUGAGGACUUACAUAGUUUGAAGUCGAUUGCUCUUUUGGCUCGGAAGAGGUCCGGACAGACUAUUGUUUCCAAGAAACCUGGCCAUUUCGAUUAUAGUAGAAGGCACCCAGAAAAGAAAAAGAGAUGAGCAAGAAAAAAGUCAGAUGUGCACAAAAUCUAGAAGGAUUAGUCCAGAUCUUCAAUCAAAGUAGGGAAUGUUAAAGAUUUGAUAACUUAUGUAGGCAAGCAAAAUAUAAUACUAAGGAUGGGGAUUACAAGGAUGUAAGAGAACUCAAGGUGAACAAAGAACUUGGGAGUUGGCCUAUCAAAUUGUUGAAACUCAGAUCCCUGCAACACCAACGAUAAGUUGAGAGGAGCAAUCAGAAUGAAAGAAAACUAAUUGGCCUCGUUGGGACUCAAGCUUAUAUGCGCUGGUACGUACAGUAUCUGUAGACUUUGAUAUUCUCCAAUAUCAGAUGGGAUGGUACCAGUGAUUAAUGCAUUUCGUAGUUUUCUGUUAUUCACAUCAAAUUUGAUAAAAAGUAGAUGGAGUAAGAUAUCAAAAGGAAAAAGGAAAAAGUUGGAUGAAAGUAUAUGGAUUAUGGAUCGACAAGAAUCUUCACUUACAAUUCAGUCAAGUUCUUCAUUUUUUUAAUGAAAUCAAGAGAGGAGCUCCCAUCGUAUAUAUCACUGAUAUGCCUACAUCAUUAUAUGCAAAAUAACUGAAAUCCCGUCUUCGGAGAAAGAGAAAGAAUUACAAUUUAUGAAGCAUUUGUACUUACAGAGAGUUCAAUGAGGUCAGCUGAGAAAAGCUGGUUGGUAUUGGGCCUUCCAAAGAGUUCCCUUGAAAUCACCUACGGAAACAUAUAAGAAGCUUGUGAACAAAUUAUCCAUCUCAGGUCUGCUUUCAUAAACUGCAUAAGAUCAAAAUUUUAUGUGGCUUACAAAGAAGUGAGUUGUGUCCAAUUCCCUAUGAAAUCAGGUAUCUUUCCUGAGAAAAGACUGUCCGUUGCCCAACUAAAAUUCAAAAAGUUGACUUAUAAUAAGCUCAUCCAAGAAAAGCAAUCUCAUAGUACUAGAUAAACGAACAAAUCUAAAAUACGAUUUAAGAGCCGUUCUUACAAGAUUUGCAUACUGGUGAGCUUGGCAAAUGUUGAAGGAAUUUCACCACUGAGUCCACAGCUGUCCAUGUAACUGUGAAAAUCUUAAGGCAACUGAUUAAUACCCAAUUUAUACAAUAAGGUGCAAUUUUUGCUUAUGCAUAAGGAACUAACAUGUAAUUCAAAUUUGAUGAUUUAACGAACCACUUACAUUUGCUGGAGCUUGACUAAAUUACCAAGUUCUGGAGGGAGUGUUCCGGAGAAAUUAUUUGAUCCGAUGGCCCUGCAAGUCAUGUUGAACAGGCAAACAAUUACUUGAAAGCAAUUAUUGAAGAGUGAUAGAAGGUUCUGUAUGUAAUGUUUAUGACACAAAAUUUUACUGUAGGCUUUCUCAUUUUUCAUGGCUUACAGCAUAUUUAGCUCCGUAAGGUUUCCAAGCUCCUUGGGGAUGGGCCCAGAGAAUGAAUUGUGGCCAAUUGACCUGAAUGGAGAUAUCAGUUAACUAAAGAUAAGCACCAUUACAUUACAAGAAACUAGGACUGCAUUAUUCAAUAAAAACAUAAUGGUUUUGUGUAGAUUACGGGGUACAUAAUAGAGAAAAUAUAUAAAGAACAUAACUGUAGAUUAUGAUAUUCAAAAUGAAGUAUACAAAUUGCGACGAGUCUCAUCAGAAGUAUGAGUACUUAAACAAAUUUUCUCUCACUACUUACAAUAUAAUCAAUGCAGACAUAUUGCCAAUGAAUCCCGGUAGGGGACCUUUGAAAUAAUUCAUAUCAAUUUUCCUACAAAAAUUGAAACGAAAUGUAAUCAUUAACCCUUAAUCUUACGACAUCACUAUAUUUUUAAUUUCCAAUUGAUAAUUUUGAUGAACCAAAAACAGAGAAGGGAAUUGGAAAAAAUUCAUACAAAACUGCGAGAUAUCUUAGAUCCAAAAAUUCUUCUGGAAACACCCCUCGUUUGUACAGAGCAUGCACUCUCCUGGAAAGCAAAAAGAUUGAACAUUUAGAACUUUAUAAAAUGGAGUGGCACAGUCAAAUUAUUGACUAAUAUAUAUAGGUAUAGCUAGCGAAAAAUCAGCAUUGGCAUAGAAAUCUUGUUCAUAAAGAGAGAGUAGUUUAACAUACAGUUUGGUGAUGUGGCAUGUAGUAUCGUUGUCAUAAGUACAGUCGCAAGCGAUGGCUGGGUUGUUAUCGGGGAUCUCAAAUUCGGUGCCGUUGAUGGCAGAUCCACUGCAGGGUUCUCCACUGGUAUUCCACAGUCCCGACACUGCUUGUGUGUCCCAUUGUUCAAAUAUUGAGUUCAACGCCCUCACUGCACACUCAGUUAAUUCAGUCCUUGUGUGUAUUAGAUUAUAUCACACCAUAAUUUGACUUGUGUUACCACUUACCAGACUAUCUCGAAUCAAAUGAGAGAUCAAAUUGAUUAUUACAAAGGAAAAUGUGGCAAAGUGUGUGUGUAGGGGGGGAGAGAGAGAGAGAGAGAGAGAGAGAGAGAGAGAGAACCUUCAGAUGGAUCAGUGGUAGCAUUUUUAGCAAAGGACAGCUGAAACCAGAAGCGGCUGAGGAAGCAGAGUAAUAGUAUCCUCAUCAUCAACUUCAUCUUCAUAUUGUAAAUGUGCAGAACUUGCUCUCCUCGACGGCGUGAAACUAAACGGCCAACCCUUAUAUUCCGACUGGCUGAAUCUUGCAUGUAAAAAGAAGACCAUAAGGCCUCGUUUGGCAGCUCAGACUGUACUGACUAUUUCAGUCGGAUAGGAUAAAUAAUCAUCGGAUAGUACUGAAUAAUUAGUCGGGCAUUUGGUGCUUUCCCGGAUAAAUCUGUACAUCGAAUAAUAUAUCGGAUUACAAUAAAUUUCUAAAAAAAAAAAAUCACCGAAUAACUAAUGUUAAAAUGGAAAAAAGGACCAAAGAAAAAAAUCCUCAUUGCACCGACAAAUUAAAAAACAAAACAUAAAAAAGGAAGGAAAGAAACCCAGGUUUCUCUCAUAGUUGUGUUAUCCUUUCUUCAUCAUCAUCCCCGCACAUCAAAUCUCACUCUCUCUGCCGAACCCAUUUCCUUAUUUCUUAAUCUCCCAAGACCCAAAUGGAUUCUCCGCACCAAAAUCAAUUUGUAAGAAAUAGACAAAUCAGCCAAUUUCAUAAGAGAGGGAAUAGAGAGCAAACAGAGAAAGGGAGCGGAAAAAAGGACGAAGAAGAAUGAAGGAUAACAUAUGAAUUUGAGAGGAAGAAGAAGAACAAGAACAACAUAUGGAGUUCGUUCUGGAUAGAGGAGAGAACGGAGAAGGCACAAAUUUAUUUGAGAGUGAAGAGACAACGCGAUUAAAUUUUCCUGGGCUUUUGAGUUUUGAACCUGUUAAAUUAUCCUUAGCUUUUGGAGUGUAUUAUUUAGCAGGUGUGAGCCGGACUAAAAAGUGGGCCCGGGAUAUAUAAUCGGCCGGCUAAUUAAUUCAAAACUGCACCAAACACCUGUCUCGCACUAUUAAUCCUAUCCGGAGUCUAAUACGGUGUCCCAAACGAGGCCUAAGAUUUUAGUCAUAUAUUGACAACGUGUGCGUAUAUACUUAAAUUUUGUCCAAGUUGUAGAUCAAUGGCGGCCAACACCUUUUUAAAUUUCCCACUUGGAGUUGGCUAAGGCUUUGAUCGUAUUAGUUGAAUUGUAUAUUGUCGUAUUAGACAUUGAGCUGCUUUAGUGUGGAAAUAUUUAUGUACAAUUCUAGAUUGUUAAUACUUUUCUGGUUGAAAAUAUCAAGGGAUUUAUGUACAAUUCUAGAUUGUUAAUACUUUUCUGGUGGAAAAUAUCAAAGGAUUGACUUACGGAUCAACAUUCUGACUCGGUCCACUACUAAUUAUGGAGAGGGAUUUUUAUCCAUAGCGAAAGAACAAAGGAUUAAUUCCCUGUUAGUUGGUGAUUUUGAUAUGACAUCUAACGAGGAUGUCAUCAUGACAAUAUCUUAAACUAAUCACAUUAUUAUGUAUAACAAAAUUGAAUUGUAACUUUGGUCUAAAAUGGGCGACUCUAAGCAAACAAGGAUUCCUGCUUUGGAAGGAUGGGAAAAGAACGUUCAUUAUAAGCAAAAAGACUGUUUUCACGACUCGAACCUGUAACAUUUCGGUCACAAAGAAGCAAAUUUUGCAUUGCACCAAAGCUCGCCCUGAAUUGUAGCUUUAGUCAAUAAUCUAAAAUUUUAUUAUAGCUAUACAUGUAUUCGACAAAAUAUGAAACACUGGUUAUUGACGCUAAUUCUAUGAGAAUUUUUAUUAAAAGGAGCAUACAUGCAAUUCUCUAAUUUACUCUUCUUAAAGGUAUUCCUCGGAAUUUUGGCCAAAAUUCUUAGCGCGAUAGACUAAUGCUUAACAUAUGUCAAACUUAAAUACUAUCUCUAAUAGAUCUUUAAUUUGCAUACUAAAACUACAAUCAAGUCAUAAUUCACAAAUUAGUCUAGUACAUUAAUUUCCUCCUUUUCAAUGUUAGGUAAAAAAAAAUACUGUUCAUAUCAAAGACUCAUACUCAUCCUCGCAAUCGUAUCAAUAAGUUCAUCUCUCUUAGCAUAAAAUAAAAUUGACAGGUUUUAUCAACCAGUUAUACGCAUUGGUUGGGAAAGGCAAGGGAGACACAUAUACUGCCUAAGUGGAAUCCGGAUCCUCACAGAGAUCUAUAAAUCGUGUUUGUUUAGCGUACUUCAUGUGGUCAAAAAUUAUUUUUAAUUUUUUAUUUAAAAUGAAAUACAUACAGCAUUUGACGAAAUUUAAUCAUAUAACGUACGAUAAACAGAUAUAAUUCACAUAUCUUCAAGAACCUCACGAGAAUCCAAAGAAUCAUGUUAGGCCUAAGUGGCCUUUGGUGUAUGACACGUAGGUUGCACAUGCAACGCGAUCAACUUGCGGAUCAACUUGCGGUCAGAGUUGACGAGUCUUCCAAAAUGUUCAAUAAGUUUUUUUUGGUAAAAAAAAAAAGUUCAAUAAGUUUAUUCAUGGAUAAGACAUUAUAUAAGGGAUUAAUCUCAAUUUAUUAUUAUAAAGUUUUAUGAUUUUUAAUAUUUGUUAUAUUAAAUUUUUUUUAUCCUAAAAUCAUACCUACUAAUUUCAUACUUCCGUUAAACUGAUUGUUAAGUCAUGUCAACAAUAUGUUACGCAUCAUUAAAGUCCACGUGAAUGUUAAAAAAAAUUAAAAACUAAAAAAUUAAAAAACUAAGAAAAAAAAAAAUUGAGCGAUGAUGCAGCCUGCUGGUAUCUUUCUUUCUCUUCUCUCCCUCAAAUCUCAUAUACCCAGCAACCCUUGCCCUCGCGACCUCGUAACCGUCGCCCUUCGUCUCGCUGCCACUAGCAAUGGGUGGGCGGAGAUCGAUUCGGCCACCAACGGAGGAAUUGAAAGGGAAAAUAAAGCGUGACCGAUGAUAAGCCUAUCGAUCCGAUUUGCUCCGAAGAAUUAGAAUUCUUUGUCCAUGGAGUUUGCCCAUUUUACUUUUUCCAAAUCCAAUUUCCAUCGUGCGUUUUCCUUUGCCCUUCAAAAAAAUUGCAGAAAUUUGGGAACGAAGGUGAAGGCAGAGAAAUCCCGCUCAUCUCUUCACUCCAAGGCCAAAUCCCACUCAUUAGAUUUUCAUCUCUUCUACCUUAAUCCAAGCCGCGGUGGAGCUGGGCAAAGCCGAAGGCAUGCCAGACUCACCAGUCCAGAUCCCAACCAUUUAUUUUCUGCCUGAACCACCCAGCCAACCCCGAACCACCAGGACCCGCACAUGUUGCUGCUCGACCCGUCGCAAGCUCGCGCCUGCCUGACCACCCGCCAGAACCACAAAAGUUGCACCUCCGUCGCACCCAGAUCGGCAGAAGAACUAAUUGCAGAAGAGUGAAAAAGGGACGGGGGAGAGGAAGCAACUAUCCCCACCUUUUUCUAUUUUUUUUUUUUUUAAUGUUUCUUAAAUUUAUUAAUUUUUUAAGUUUUUUAAAUGGGAAAAUUAGAAUCCCCUACAACUUUUUUAUAUCUUUUAGACUAAACAUUUGUGCCUUUUCAAAAUUUGAUUAAAGUGCUUUGACCAAUAGACACCUCACAAUUUUCUGUUAAAUUAAAUUACAUAUCAUUAUUGUAUUUUCUUAAAAUAAAAUGUUAAUUAUUAAUUUCUAAAUUAUCCUCUUAUGUUUUUAUGCGUUUUUCCCCUUAUUUAGUGGAGUAUUAGUUAUUAACUCUAUUAUCCCUUUUUCCAAUUAUAAUUUUUUGAUCAAAAUAAUUUUUUUGUUCUACAAACAUUAAUAUUAUCUAUUUUUGUCAAAUGGUUGGCGAUCCAACAAAGCACUGUGUAAUUUUUCCCCUUUUUUUUGUCAAACUAUUUUUCUUUGUUUUUUAUUUUUAUUUUUUUUAUUUUUACUUAUAGUUGUUGACAAACUAUUAUUAGGUACAACAUAUUAUGUGUAUACUGCCGUUAGGUACGUUUUAAUUUGUAAAAAACAUUGAUUGGUACGUUUAUUUGCAGUUUUGGUACGUUUGAUUUGGUACAUAUUGUUGAUAUUGGUACAUUACUUUUGAUUUUGGUACGUUUGAUUUCAUACACUUUAUUUAUUGGUACGUUUAUAUUGUUGUUAGUCCUAUUUUCUCUUAAUGUAUUGAUAUAAAAAAUUAUAUUGGUACAUUUGAUUUCGUGAGAUUUAAAAAUAUUUUCAACCCUUUUGGGAAUAAAAUAUUAAAUCGUAGAAAUCAUUGCUAAAUUGUAGGAAGUAUUGUGAAAAUAAAUUGUAUUUAACUAGGGUUUUUUUGUUUACAAUUAUCUCCAAAGGGGGAGAAGGUAAUCAAAAUGCUUGAUUAUAGGAAGUUUGUUCAAUACGCUGUGCACUUUUUUGGCGUGAGAUUAAGAAAUAUGGAGUAGUGGCAGGUCAUGUAAUUUUGGUAUAAAAAAUGAUUAAUUCUAAUAUAUGUGGCAACAAAAUGAUGAGAACAAGAGUUUAAUCAAAUCUCUAAAAGGCAUAG